GAUGAACGCUGGCGGCGUGCCUAAUACAUGCAAGUCGAGCGAACGGACGAGAAGCUUGCUUCUCUGAUGUUAGCGGCGGACGGGUGAGUAACACGUGGAUAACCUACCUAUAAGACUGGGAUAACUUCGGGAAACCGGAGCUAAUACCGGAUAAUAUUUUGAACCGCAUGGUUCAAAAGUGAAAGACGGUCUUGCUGUCACUUAUAGAUGGAUCCGCGCUGCAUUAGCUAGUUGGUAAGGUAACGGCUUACCAAGGCAACGAUGCAUAGCCGACCUGAGAGGGUGAUCGGCCACACUGGAACUGAGACACGGUCCAGACUCCUACGGGAGGCAGCAGUAGGGAAUCUUCCGCAAUGGGCGAAAGCCUGACGGAGCAACGCCGCGUGAGCGAUGAAGGUCUUCGGAUCGUAAAACUCUGUUAUUAGGGAAGAACAUAUGUGUAAGUAACUGUGCACAUCUUGACGGUACCUAAUCAGAAAGCCACGGCUAACUACGUGCCAGCAGCCGCGGUAAUACGUAGGUGGCAAGCGUUAUCCGGAAUUAUUGGGCGUAAAGCGCGCGUAGGCGGUUUUUUAAGUCUGAUGUGAAAGCCCACGGCUCAACCGUGGAGGGUCAUUGGAAACUGGAAAACUUGAGUGCAGAAGAGGAAAGUGGAAUUCCAUGUGUAGCGGUGAAAUGCGCAGAGAUAUGGAGGAACACCAGUGGCGAAGGCGACUUUCUGGUCUGUAACUGACGCUGAUGUGCGAAAGCGUGGGGAUCAAACAGGAUUAGAUACCCUGGUAGUCCACGCCGUAAACGAUGAGUGCUAAGUGUUAGGGGGUUUCCGCCCCUUAGUGCUGCAGCUAACGCAUUAAGCACUCCGCCUGGGGAGUACGACCGCAAGGUUGAAACUCAAAGGAAUUGACGGGGACCCGCACAAGCGGUGGAGCAUGUGGUUUAAUUCGAAGCAACGCGAAGAACCUUACCAAAUCUUGACAUCCUUUGACAACUCUAGAGAUAGAGCCUUCCCCUUCGGGGGGGCAAAGUGACAGGUGGUGCAUGGUUGUCGUCAGCUCGUGUCGUGAGAUGUUGGGUUAAGUCCCGCAACGAGCGCAACCCUUAAGCUUAGUUGCCAUCAUUAAGUUGGGCACUCUAAGUUGACUGCCGGUGACAAACCGGAGGAAGGUGGGGAUGACGUCAAAUCAUCAUGCCCCUUAUGAUUUGGGCUACACACGUGCUACAAUGGACAAUACAAAGGGCAGCGAAACCGCGAGGUCAAGCAAAUCCCAUAAAGUUGUUCUCAGUUCGGAUUGUAGUCUGCAACUCGACUACAUGGAGCUGGAAUCGCUAGUAAUCGUAGAUCAGCAUGCUACGGUGAAUACGUUCCCGGGUCU
rnacentral:rRNA from 1 species